rnacentral:rRNA from 1 species
CCUACGGGUGGCAGCAGUGGGGAAUCUUCCGCAAUGGGCGCAAGCCUGAUGGAGCAACGCCGCGUGAUUGAAUGAAGGCUUCCGGUUUGUAAAGACUUGCUGACGGGGACGAAUAAGCAAUGCGAAUAGCUUUGUGUAUGACGGUUACCGUCUAGAAAGCCCCCGCUAACUACGUGCCAGCAGCCGCGGUAAUACGUAGGGAGCAAGCGUUGUCCGGAAUUACUGGGCGUAAAGGGCGCGUAGGUGGGCGCUUGAGUCAGGUGUGAAAACGCCGGGCUUAACCUGGAGACUGCACUUGAAACUGGGUGGCUUGAGGGCAGGAGAGGAGAGUGGAAUUCCUAGUGUAGCGGUGAAAUGCGUAGAUAUUAGGAGGAACACCAGUGGCGAAGGCGACUUUCUGGACUGUACCUGACGCUGAGGCGCGAAAGCGUGGGUAGCGAACGGGAUUAGAUACCCGGGUAGUC